GGGAUCAUUACACAAAUAUGAAGGCGGGCUGGAACCUCUCGGGGUUACAGCCUUGCUGAAUUAUUCACCCUUGUCUUUUGCGUACUUCUUGUUUCCUUGGUGGGUUCGCCCACCACUAGGACAAACAUAAACCUUUUGUAAUUGCAAUCAGCGUCAGUAACAAAUUAAUAAUUACAACUUUCAACAACGGAUCUCUUGGUUCUGGCAUCGAUGAAGAACGCAGCGAAAUGCGAUAAGUAGUGUGAAUUGCAGAAUUCAGUGAAUCAUCGAAUCUUUGAACGCACAUUGCGCCCUUUGGUAUUCCAAAGGGCAUGCCUGUUCGAGCGUCAUUUGUACCCUCAAGCUUUGCUUGGUGUUGGGCGUCUUGUCUCUAGCUUUGCUGGAGACUCGCCUUAAAGUAAUUGGCAGCCGGCCUACUGGUUUCGGAGCGCAGCACAAGUCGCACUCUCUAUCAGCAAAGGUCUAGCAUCCAUUAAGCCUUUUUUUCAACUUUUGACCUCGGAUCAGGUAGGGAUACCCGCUGAACUUA
rnacentral:rRNA from 1 species